UCAGGCCUAACACAUGCAAGUCGAACGGAUCACUUCGGUGGUUAGUGGCGAACGGGUGAGUAAUGCCUAGGAAUCUGCCUAUUAGCGGGGGAUAACGUUCCGAAAGGAACGCUAAUACCGCAUACGCCCUACGGGGGAAAGCAGGGGAUCUUCGGACCUUGCACUAAUAGAUGAGCCUAGGUCAGAUUAGCUAGUUGGUGGGGUAAAGGCUCACCAAGGCGACGAUCUGUAGCGGGUCUGAGAGGAUGAUCCGCCACACUGGAAGUGAGACACGGUCCAGACUCCUACGGGAGGCAGCAGUGGGGAAUAUUGGCCAAUGGGCG
rnacentral:rRNA from 1 species